rnacentral:lncRNA from 1 species
AUUAGAGUAUAAAUGAAGAAGUUUUUAGGGCGCAAGCGCUUCUCUGGUCCAAGUACGUUCGCGCAUGCUAACUUCCAAGUUCGCACACAUCGUUAUUCCUCAUCCAAGCGCGUUAACGGGCCGACACCAACGGAAGAAGAAGAACGUCGUUCGUAACGUCGUCGAGCUUUGGAACUCGAGGAUUUGGACGAAGCCUUCUCGAAUGAGGGUGAGGGUGGUUUAAGAAGGUGGGAAGGAAAGGGAAUAAAGAGGGAAAAGGGGACAGGAUAGGAGAUGAAAUUGGAGUGGGGAUUGGGAACGAGGGGUUAGUCGACAUAGAGGAAGCUUACCUUAUUUUUCCUUUCUUUUCUACAUUUUCGGCUAAAGACUCAAUGUAUUAGAUCUAAAUGGUAAGCUGUUUCGAUUUAACAAUACUUUUUGAUGACGCAUAUAUUAUUUAUGAACUCGUUAGUACAGUAAGAUCACCUCGGUUCGUCUUAUAAUACAAAAAUUAAUAUGUCAAAGUUUUAAUAAAUAAUUAUAUACGUUUGGUAUAAGAUAGGAAAGAGUUCAUUUUUAACCAAUAUCAUUUUAAUAUUUUUAUAUGAGAGAUCAUUUUAUUUAGCUGAAAAAAGUAAAUCAUUGAGAAAGAAUUGGUAUCAAAAAUUGUUACAUAUCAGUCGCAAGAUAUAAUAUGAGGUAAAGUAAAAGUUGAUAUUAUAAGAACGCGAGAGAUAAUUUCGGUAUUAAUAUUAAAAAAUUAACGUCAUAUGAUGGAACGACUCGUCCUUGAAAUUUACAAAUUCAUCCAAUGAAUUUUAUCAUUAGACAAAUCUCUCGCAAACCGAUCAA